rnacentral:lncRNA from 1 species
AAUAGUGAAAGAGUAAAUAAAUCAUCCGCUUAAUGCUUUAAGCGUAUGAACAGAUGGUUGGCAUAUUGCUAUUCCUUUCUUUUAUGUAUCCCCAACUUGCUGAGGCCUUUCGUUUUAUUUGGAAAUUGUCUUGGUCCUCUUGGAUGAGGGGGCUUCAAGAACUCAUUCCUAGCUCGGAGGUAUAUCUUUUACAAAUUUAUGAGUUGCUUAGAUUCAUGCUUGUCGCCAUGUCAACUCAGCUUUUUUCUAAGCCAUCACAAGGAGCAGAUGUAUUUAGCACCAAUGUGAUUCGGUGGGAAUCCUCGUUCUUUUUAGGGAAAAGUAUAUAGAGACUAUACAUUUUUCUUCUUCCUUUCUUUUCUCCUCUUUCUGUUGCGUUUUAUCUUAUACCUAGCAAGAGUGCUUUUAUUGGUAGUAGAUAAUUUUGAUAAGUAUAUUACUACAUUUAUGUUAAAUUACUUAUUUGUGGUGUUGUAUGUAAGGAUAUUUAUUUCUCUGAGAUUCUUUUUGGUGAAUAAUAUGGUCUGUCACAUAAAAAUUUAUUGUCAGGCCAGGGAAAAAGAAAAAGAAGCAACAACUUUGGUUUGAGUGGCAUUUGCAGAAAAGAGAUGGAAGAGGCUUCUCUGCCAAAUGAGACAACAUUAUUGAAAUUCUUGUUCUCUAUCUUAUUUUGUUAGAAUACAGCUUAGCAGUAGGCAUAUGACUCUUGUUAGCUCUAACUGUUG